AUUGGCUUUUUCCGUAAUUCUCUGAGGAAGACAGCACAGUAUAUCACACCCAUUUAACAGAUAAGAAGACUGAAGCUUGGAUUAGGGUGACCAACUGUCCAGUUUGCCCAAGACUAAGGAAGAUUCCUGGGAUUUUCAGUGCUAGCUGGACAAGUCCCAGAACAGCCAGAUGCUCAGACUGUGGCAGAGGACCCAAGGGGACAGUGCAAAGAGCCUGAGUUCCUGAUUCACCUUCUGGGAGGCUCCCUCUGAGCCCCACAUGGGCUCUG